AUUCCUUACCAUUCAUUUACACUCAACAAUUCACCACACAUUUUCAAUAGUAUAACGCAUAGAGGGAGAAAAGAGGGAGACGAGACACUGAGAAAUAGGGGAAGAGGGAGUAAGAGAGCACGAGAUGCAGAGGGAAGAGAGGAAGGGGGGAGCAGCGCCGGUGAGUGUCACUGCCACUGUUGCUGCUGUUGCUAUCGAGUAGAAGAGGGAGGGAGGCUGUCGCACUUCUAGCCGCCACUGCUGAAGCUCCCCUCACCACUGUCAACGUCGGUUAGGGCAGAGGAGAAGAGGAAGAAUAACGGAGAAGAGAGACUGACGGGGAGGGUAAUACGGUUGCUGUUGAUUUGGAGCUGCUACAAGAACGGCGGUUCCUGCUUCUAAUCCCUGUCCUUUUGAUUUUUGGAGCUGCGGUGGAUGGAGCUUGUCAUCGGAAAAAGCAAGCUGCCGCCACCAACUCUCAAUUAAGCUAGGAUCCUUCUCCUUGUUCUGAUUUCAAUUUUCCCAUUUUUGAAACCCUCCCUUUUUGGCUCCUAUUUCCUGCUACAAUUAGGUCGAGUAUUGAAGCUGGUGCUGCCAUGGGACGGUUGAAGCCAUUACUGAUUCUGAUUUUGUUAUUGGGUACUGCGAAGGCUAAUAUUGUUGCUGUUCCGGUUGCGUGAGAGUUACCGCUGCUGCCCUGAAACUAAAAGAGAAGAGAGUUGUUACGUUAAAGUAUGCGAUUGCGACAUCGAGGGUUUUCCAUGUUUUAAUAAGUGAGUUAUGGGACUUGGAAGAGGUUGUAUUCAAUGAUUUGUAAAUCAGAAUUCUGCAGAGAAUUACCUAACUUCGAAGCUACGUUACUUCUUCAUUAAAAAUGGUUUGAAGAUGCAAUAUGAAGCUGCAAGCGAUUAGUAGGCCUUCUUUACGGUUUUAAUUGCUUUCAUAGAGUCCCCUCGCUGUCGUCCCUUGAGAUUUUAUUUUACAUAGAGGGGUAGGUUUAGUAUAUUGUAUUUGAAUUUUAUUUGGUUUCUUUUGUAUUAAGAGUUAUUAUUAAUAAUAUUUAUGUGAUUAUUAUUUGUUGGAAAUCUUUGAAACACGACUUUACUAAAUAAAAACAAAAAUUUUCUGGCA